CUUCAUCAUGAGAUGCCCACUGUUACCCCUGAGCUGCGGAAGCAACAUGCACCUGUCUCUUACAACACCCGUGAAACACUUGCCAAGAGUAACAGGAUAAACCGAGUGAAACCUUAGGAAGACAAUUGAGGAUGAAAGAUAAAUAAUUCAAGACGGCAGAAACUCGGCAUUUACACCACGGGCAUCAUGAGAGAGUAGCUGGAACGGUCCCAGUUUGAUCGGCAACUUACGCUUGUGUCUCCCCCUGCCCAGAUGUGCAACGUGCGAGCCUGCUAAGGGCCUGAGAAAUACACCUGGAGCGAAGUCCGAAGCAGGACACAGACUCUGCCUGCGAUGUUCACAGGAAGCAUCCUGACCAGGAUGUGAAUGGCUGCAGGAAAGAAGAAAUUAACACAUCCCUUCCACAGUCUGAACAGAACCAGGAAAUAUUUACAGCAACGUAUCACCUUUUUACCUCACCUCCUCCUCUUUUUUCUAUAGAAGAAACUAGCACCCAAAUCCAGGCAAGAUGGUUCUUUGGGACAUUAGUCCACCGUCUUCCCAGUCAACUGGCUUUCAAUAUAAAGUUGCUAUUCCUUGCCCCAACAACUCGUCUCUUGAUUUACUGGCCUGUCUUGCUGCAAACAGUACAAGCUUGGAGUUACUUAAUUCUGCCCUCAUUUCUGUCCCAACACUUAACUCCAAGUCCUGUCCACAAUUACUGGCAUAGAGAAGGUUUAACAGAUGUUUGUUGAAUGCAUGAAGGAAGAGAACUUAUAUUUUAAUUUAUUUUAGACUCUCUCUAUCCAGCUUUCUUUCUGCUGCCCAUAAUCAGUGGGAAAGAAUUUCAGGGUAAGUUUGUAUGGUAUCCAAAACAAUAUAUCCCAAACACACACACGCACACACACACACACACACGCAUCACAUCACAUCUACUAUAGAAACAAAAAUUGACAACUUGGCCUUGCUUUCCAUGAUUAAGCAUGUCACAUGCCAAGGUAGAGGGAGAACA